AAGGGAGGUGGAUCAUUUUCAUUAUCAACAAACGUGCAAAGGAAGCAUAGUACAAGUGGAUUACAACUACAAGCAGAGUUGUCUACUAAUACUUGCAUUUCUUGUACACUUCACUUUGAUGGCGCAUCUAAAGGGAACCCUGGGCUUGCCGGUGCGGGAACAAUUUUGAGGGCAGAUGAUGGAAGCAAGGUAUAUCAAUUGCGUGAAGGAGUUGGUACGGCUACUAAUAAUGUUGCCGAAUACAGAGCCUUGAUUUUAGGAUUAAAACAAGCUCUCGAGAAAGGAUUUAAGCAUGUAUGUGUUAAAGGAGAC